GAUGAACGCUGGCGGCGUGCCUAAUACAUGCAAGUCGAGCGAACAGACGAGGAGCUUGCUCCUCUGACGUUAGCGGCGGACGGGUGAGUAACACGUGGAUAACCUACCUAUAAGACUGGGAUAACGUCGGGAAACCGGAGCUAAUACCGGAUAAUAUAUUGAACCGCAUGGUUCAAUAGUGAAAGAGGGUUUUGCUGUCACUUAUAGAGGGAUCCGCGCCGCAUUAGCUAGUUGGUAAGGUAACGGCUUACCAAGGCAACGAUGCGUAGCCGACCUGAGAGGGUGAUCGGCCACACUGGAACUGAGACACGGUCCAGACUCCUACGGGAGGCAGCAGUAGGGAAUCUUCCGCAAUGGGCGAAAGCCUGACGGAGCAACGCCGCGUGAGUGAUGAAGGUCUUCGGAUCGUAAAACUCUGUUAUUAGGGAAGAACAAAUGUGUAAGUAACUAUGCACGUCUUGACGGUACCUAAUCAGAAAGCCACGGCUAACUACGUG
rnacentral:rRNA from 1 species